rnacentral:rRNA from 1 species
AACGAACGCUGGCGGCAGGCUUAACACAUGCAAGUCGAACGCACCUUUCGGGGUGAGUGGCAGACGGGUGAGUAACGCGUGGGAAUCUACCCUUCUCUACGGGAUAGCUCCGAGAAACUGGAAUUAAUACCGUAUACGUCCUGAGGGAGAAAGAUUUAUCGGGGAAGGAUGAGCCCGCGUUGGAUUAGCUAGUUGGUGGGGUAAAGGCCUACCAAGGCGACGAUCCAUAGCUGGUCUAAGAGGAUGAUCAGCCACAUUGGGACUGAGACACGGCCCAAACUCCUACGGGAGGCAGCAGUGGGGAAUAUUGGACAAUGGGCGCAAGCCUGAUCCAGCCAUGCCGCGUGAGUGAUGAAGGUCCUAGGGUUGUAAAGCUCUUUCAGUGGGGACGAUAAUGACGGUACCCACAGAAGAAGCCCCGGCUAACUUCGUG